rnacentral:rRNA from 1 species
CCUACGGGUGGCAGCAGUGGGGAAUAUUGCACAAUGGGCGCAAGCCUGAUGCAGCCAUGCCGCGUGUGUGAAGAAGGCCUUCGGGUUGUAAAGCACUUUCAGCGGGGAGGAAGGCGGUGAGGUUAAUAACCUCAUCGAUUGACGUUACCCGCAGAAGAAGCACCGGCUAACUCCGCGCCAGCAGCCGCGGUAAUACGGAGGGUGCAAGCGUUAAUCGGAAUUACUGGGCGUAAAGCGCACGCAGGCGGUCUGUCAAGUCGGAUGUGAAAUCCCCGGGCUCAACCUGGGAACUGCAUUCGAAACUGGCAGGCUAGAGUCUUGUAGAGGGGGGUAGAAUUCCAGGUGUAGCGGUGAAAUGCGUAGAGAUCUGGAGGAAUACCGGUGGCGAAGGCGGCCCCCUGGACAAAGACUGACGCUCAGGUGCGAAAGCGUGGGGAGCAAACAGGAUUAGAUACCCGGGUAGUC